rfam:Gossypium arboreum cultivar AKA8401 contig_17397_3, whole genome shotgun sequence.
AACCCAUGGUGAGGGCACCUUAUCAGUAAGUCUUUGUAUCUCUCCCAUGCAUCGUAAAGUAUUUCUAAAUCCAUCUGCACAAAAGAAGAGAUAUCAUUACGCAAUUU